rnacentral:rRNA from 1 species
GACGAACGCUGGCGGCGUGCUUAACACAUGCAAGUCGAACGGAAAGGCCCUGCUUUUGUGGGGUGCUCGAGUGGCGCACGGGUGAGUAACACGUGAGUAACCUGCCCUUGACUUUGGGAUAACUUCAGGAAACUGGGGCUAAUACCGGAUAGGAGCUCCUGCUGCAUGGUGGGGGUUGGAAAGUUUCGGCGGUUGGGGAUGGACUCGCGGCUUAUCAGCUUGUUGGUGGGGUAGUGGCUUACCAAGGCUUUGACGGGUAGCCGGCCUGAGAGGGUUGACGGCCACAUGGGGACUGAGAGACGGCCCAGACUCCUACGGGAGGCAGCAGUGGGGAAUAUUGCACAAUGGGCGGAAGCCUGAUGCAGCAACGCCGCGUGCGGGAUGACGGCUUUCGGGUUGUAAACCGCUUUCGCCUGUGACGAAGCGUGAGUGACGGUAAUGGGUAAAGAAGCACCGGCUAACUACGUG